rnacentral:rRNA from 1 species
CACGUAGGGCGCAAGCGUUGUCCGGAAUUAUUGGGCGUAAAGAGCUCGUAGGCGGUCUGUUGCGUCCGCUGUGAAAACUCGGGGCUUAACCCCGAGCCUGCAGUGGAUACGGGCAGACUAGAGGUAGGUAGGGGAGAAUGGAAUUCCCGGUGUAGCGGUGAAAUGCGCAGAUAUCGGGAGGAACACCGGUGGCGAAGGCGGCUACCUGGACCAGCACUGACACUGAAGCACGAAAGCGUGGGGAGCAAACAGG